UUUCGGUUAGCAAGCACUUCUCCAUUCUCCCAACGUCUCGGGCCUGGAAGCCUCUUUUGCCUCUAAAUGGAAUCUGAUGAAUUCACAGCCAGAUUCUAGCAGAUGCACAAAGAAGAGCUGGUACCAAUUCUACUGCAACUAUUCCAAAAAAUCAAGGAGGGUCUCCUUUAACUCAUUCUGGAAAGCCAGCUUCACUCUGGUACCAAAACCUGGCAAAGACACAACAACAAAAAAAAGAAAACCACAGGCCGAUAUCCCUGAGGAACAUAGAUGCAAGAUGGAUUACAGAUUUAAAUGUAAGACCCUAAACUAUAAGAAUCCUAGAGAAAUCCUGGAAAAUACCAUCCUGGACAUUGGCCCUGGGAAAGAAUUUAUGACUAAGUCCUCAAAAGCAAUUGCAACAAAAACAAAAAUUGACAAGUGGGAUCUAAUUAAAUGAAAGAGCUUCUGCACUGCAAAAUAAACUAUCAGUGUAAACAGGCAACCUACAGAAUGGGAGAAAAUGUUUGCAAACUAUGCACCCAACAAAGGUCUAAUAUCCAUAAUCUAUGAGGAAGUUAAACAAUUCAAAAAGCAAACAACAAAUAACCCCACUAAAAAGUAGGCAAAAGACAUGAACAGACACUUUUCAAAAGAAGACAUGCAAGCAGCCAACAAACAUGACAAAAUGCUCAACAUCACUGAUCAUCAGAGAAAUGCAAA
rnacentral:lncRNA from 10 species